rnacentral:rRNA from 1 species
CACGUAGUUAGCCGGGGCUUUCUGGUAAAAGUACCGUCAUCCUAGCAUCAUUUCCUAUACUAGGUAUUCUUCCUUUACAACAGAGUUUUACAACCCAUAGGGCCUUCAUCACUCACGCGGCAUUGCUCGUUCAGGGUUUCCCCCAUUGACGAAUAUUCCUAACUGCUGUCUCCCGUAGGAGUCUGGGCCGUGUCUCAGUCCCAGUGUGUCCGAUCAGCCUCUCAGCUCGGAUAUGCAUCGUUGCCUUGGUAGGCCAUUACCCCACCAACUAGCUAAUACAACGCAAGCCCAUCUUAAAGUGAAGCAAAUGCUCCUUUUAACGAUCUAGUUAUCUAAUUACGUAUCAUCCGUAUUAGCGAUCAUUUCUAACCGUUAUCCCAGUCUACGUAAGGUUACGUUAACCCGACGUUGUUACCUCCACCCGUUCUCGCCUACUAAGUACGACCAACCCCUAA